CCACAGUGCCUUUUGCUUCUGCGUCCAAACUUCACUGACUUUGUACGCACACUCAGCCUCUCCUCAGAGUCAGUUAGAUCUGCUUGUGUUUCUUCAUGGUUGAGAGUUCUGUGGUGACCUUUUUGUCAGCAGUUCUUAACCCAAGAGUGACAUCGAAUUUACUCGGAGGGCUUUUAAAACAUGAGUGAUGGCAAGCUCACUCUUCAGGGCUAGGAGUAUGUCACAGGGUCCAGCGCUCUCAAAAGCUGUAAAGGAACCUUCUCUCCCUCUGCCUCUGGAUUGAGGAGGGCCAGAAUUUUCAACCAAGCCUAUCGUUUUGUCGUUGUCAUAUUCUGCUUUCCUUGGAAGUCCCUCUGAUGCAGGCCCUCCAAAGUUCUGAGCCUCCAAGAAGAAUUAGUCCAAUGCUACUCCAAGACCAGCAUUUUAACGGCUUCACAGAAAACAGACCGUGGGAUGUUUGCCAGUAUCCGUGGUUCAUGUAUGCACUCCACGGUCUUCAGGAAGACACGGAAAGACAUCUGUUGUGACGGCCAACUCAUGGCUAAGACUUUUUCAACUCUCCUCUUUUCCCGCAGUAUAUUUAACUGAAAGUCACAAGUCAUCGUGGAACUGAACAUGGAAGAAAGGGAAGGACGCCACGGUCAGCACUUCUGAAGACUACGAAAAGCCCCCACGUUUAGACUGAGUCACGGGGUGGUGCUCUGCCUGGUUGCACAGUAGAAUGAGCUGAGGGCUUAUGUGUGGUGUCAUACAGCCUCAGGUCAACGGAAUUCCACAGAAUUAAAGGACGUUCCUAAAACUAACAAUAGCUCUUUGGGGAACAUGACCUAGUGGGAACUGUGAAACCUUGUUUUCCAGAAAAGGCCCACCAGGGGAACUUUAGAACUUUCCUCUCAGGAUGUGCGCAGAGGGUGCAGAUGUCACCCGCCUCACCUGUCUG
rnacentral:lncRNA from 1 species